GUUAACUUAAUUAACUCUUUUUUUUUUUUUUAUCGAUUUUCUUAUCUCUAGUUUCACAACAUUAUGAUUAAGUUUUUAAUAACAUAAUAUACUAUCAACGGGACUUUGUUUGAUCUCACAACACUAUGAUUAAAGUUUCUUAAUCCAUCGCACAAGCCCUUUGUUAAUAUAUACAGAUACACAGAGCAGAAAAGCCUCCGCAUCAGGCUCCUAUAAGCCAUGCUCUCCACCUCAAGGCACAAAAACCAUGUUCUCCGCCUCCUUCUUCACCGAUUCGAAAAGCACGGAGGAUAGGUAACGCUCCCCAAAGCUAGGGAAGAUCGUCUGUUUACAUUAGAAAAAAUGGUAAGACGCACAGAACAAAACACCAACAAAGGCCAAGCACUAGAAGGUAUUCAGAAAGAUACGGCAUGUGCUAAACGCAAUGCUGCUAAGCUUUGCCAAAGAAUAUGGUACUUAUCAUCACUAUUACCGUGCUUGAAGAUUUUCUAUCACCUAUAAUCGUUCAAGAACAUUCAUUAUUUGAAUAGAUAAUUUCAUCAUAAAAAAUAUCAAGGGAAAUGGUUGCUAGAUUGGCAAUGAACUUUACUAUUUGGAAACAAAUUUGUUUCAUCUAAGGGAUAGCUUUGGGCAGCAGGCUCACUAGCAAGUUGCAGAUGGAUCUACUUCAAAAGGAAGAAAAUCAAACUUACAACAAUGAGUUUUCCAGCAUUUUCAGGCCUCUUUGCUAUCUCAAUGGCAGCAGCUGCAGCAGCUCCAGAUGAUAUCCCCACCUGAAAUCCAAAUGAUGCCCUCAAAAGAAUUCUUGAUUAAAGUCAAACCCAGAAAAUAUGAUCCAGUUAACAGAGUGGAGUGCUGUAGAGUUCUGGGUUCCUUCUUGCAACAAAUAUCAAAUAAUUGUAAGCUUACCAGCAAUCCUUCUUUCAAGGCAAGAAGCUUUGCAGUUUCAAUGGCUUCUUCACUUGAUAUCUGCAAAGUCAUAUAACGAUCCAGUCUCUCAGGUAGCAGCGCAGCAAGGCAAUAAAAAGGAAGAAACAAAAAACAAACGGUAUUUUCUCUUAAGGAAUAAAUCAGAGCAUGCGACAAAGAUUAGACUUGAGGAACUUGGAUUUGUAUAAGAUGGAGUAGGAAUACGUUUUGGGAAUUAUGUAAGAGAACACAGACUUACUUGAACAGUUUCAUCAAGUAAACCGACAUCCAAAACCGCAGGGAUGAAGCCAGCGCCAAUUCCCUGGAUCUUAUGUGGACCUUGGAUCCAUUCCAGAAAACAAUGAUAUGUUAGUCCAAUCAUGAAUACAUGGAAAAGGCAGCUGCUUCAAGAGGACAGAAUCAUAUGGGACAUGUCCAAUUGUGAAAAAUGUUGUGCAAGGUUUUGAAUAUUUAUCUUAAAGGAAUGCAAGACAGAUGGCUUAGAAGUUCCAACAACAAUUGGGAAAUUAUUCCAACAUAAAACAACAUAACUCCUAAUGCAUAUACUUUGCUAAUCCGACACAGUAAAAGUCCAAAAGAUUAGACCAGGAUCCUAUAUCCAUAGAAUCAGUGAGCUCUAUUAUUUGUUUUAGUCGUAUGAAAAAGGUUGCAAAACUCUAAUCACUGUUUAAUUGGACUGUAUAGUUUGUGAUCAAGUUUAUAACAUUUGAAUUGUAGGUUCUUGGAAAAGAACGAAAGCAAAUGAAUGUCCAAGAAACCAUGACUCACCAGGUUUCCCUCCAGACAACACUGCACUUUCAACUGGUUCUACACCAUAAAUCUAAACACGAAAAGGAAAGAACAAACGCCAAGAUAAGAAACAAUAAAGAAACUAGCAAUACCAAAAAAAAAAAUGACUUCCACUCCAAAUCAAGCAAUGCGGAGAAGUGAACCUUUAUAUCAGGGUUUUGUUCCUUGAGAUACUUCGCUGCACCUGUUAUUGUUCCCCCAGUCCCUAUCCCAGAAACGAAGGCAUCAACUUUCCCACCUGACCCUUUCCACAUCUCCGGUCCAGUUGUCUCAUAGUGAAUCUGACCAGGCAACAUCAGUAUGAUUGCAAUUCUCUCAAGUCAGCAAGUCAGAAAACGUGCGAAAUGAAAACAAAUGGCACCUUCGGGUUGGCAGGAUUUUCAAAUUGUUGCAGAAUAUAAGCAUUAGGUGUCUUUGCCAAUAUCUCUUCAGCCUUCUGAACAGCCCCAUUUAUGCCCCUGGCAGGAUCAGUAAGGAUCAACUCAGCUCCAAAAGCAAGGAGAACCAUUCUUCUCUCUAGACUCAUUGAUGCAGGCAUGGUAAUGAUCAGUCUGUAGCCCUUAGCAGCUGCCAUGAAUGCCAGCCCUAUGCCAGUGUUGCCACUCGUAGGCUCAAUCAGGACACUCUUCAGCAUUAAGAAAGAAAACCAUGUCAACACGCGAGUUCCUUUGUAAUGACAUUCACGCUAUUUUGUAAGCAAUGAACAGAAAACGGAUCAGUUGACUGUCAAUGUCUGGACUAGGUCAUUACAAGGGUUGGCAACUAAUAAUUAAAUAUCCAUUAAUGUAUCAUACCUGCCAGCAGAAAAUGAUUUUCUGAUGCAACGAAGUCUUAAGCCAAGACAUGUAUUGAUCAAUUUUCAAUAGCUAUAUAUAACAUAUCACUCAAUUUCAAAGCAAAACAACCCAACUUGGACUUAAAAUUCAUGUAUCGUAUCUGUUCAAGUAGGAUUGAAUCACCAACCUCGCCCGGCUUGAUUAGACCCUUCUCCUCUGCAUCUUUGAUCAUACUAUACCCAAUCCUACAAACAAGGGAAGAAAGACAAGAAGAAGAAUUUCAAGCUGAGCAAACCAAAAUCUCAUUAAUGAUGAUGUUCUAAAGGCCCCAUUGUUACUUGUUGAGCAAAUCCAAUUCCAGCUUUGGAUUCAGAAACACAUUUGAAGUACCCGGAAACAGAAACAUAUUAAAUUUCGACAGCAAAGGAAGAUUUUCGGCCUUGGCAACCAAAUAAACCUGAUCGUAGCCAAGUUAAUAUAUAAAGCAUACCGAUCUCAACUUUCCAACAAAGAACAACAGAAAUCUAACUAAUACCUAUCUUUGACACUUGAGCAAGGUUCCAUCAUCUCCAGCUUGGCAGCAAUACGCGCCACACAACCAUCCACAACAUUGUUGAGAUACACCAAUGGUGUUUUACCGAUAAGCUAUAUUGGACCAAGUACAAAAGAAUAUAUAAGCCAGGGCUCCCAUAUCAAAGCACCUCAAGAACAAAUUCAACAAUUUUGGAAAUGGCAAUGGAGUCAACUUACUUCAGUAACAUCUUUGGCAAUUGAACCCUUCUCCUCUGCCAUUUUUUGUUCCGGUUACUGCACAAGCAUAGAACACAUGGAGUGAUCAGCGAAAAAAAAAAACAAGCUAAAAAGGACACACCUUUACAGAAAAAAUAGCAGAUACUGCAACCAUUUGAAACAUUCACCAAAACACCAUUUAAUUUAUAAGGAAAUGAUUCAGGAACUNNNNNNNNNNNNNNNNNNNNNNNNNNNNNNNNNNNNNNNNNNNNNNNNNNNNNNNNNNNNNNNNNNNNNNNNNNNNNNNNNNNNNNNNNNNNNNNNNNNNAAUUGCGACACUCUUGCACGCACAAGACCAUGCAUUAUAAACCAAAAAAAUAUAUAGCAUCAACCCAGAAAAAAAAAGAAUUCUCUCCUCAUGGCCCAUGGGAGUGCGACGUAAAUGAAAGUUGAUCAAAAUUUAUUUAUUUCUGUUUAAAAUUUAUUUUUUUAUUUUUGAAUGGUUUUAAUGUGUUUUUUCAAAAUUAAAACUUGGAAAAAAUUAAAAAAUAUAUUAUUUUUAUAUAUUUUGAAAACAAAAAAGAUACAACACUCACGUGCACCGACAAACCCUUCACCAAAAUCCAUGAACUGAUGAACAACUAAACCUUCUAGAAUCCAGCAUCAACACAUAUAAUAUCAAAGAGUAAAAAUUGAGAAAAUCUUACAUCAAGCCUCGAGAUUCUUGAACUUUAAACAAUGUAAGUUUCCAAGCUAAAAUCUUUCUUUCAAGAAAAAACAGAGAAAUGAAAGAAAGUCAGAUAUUCGAUGGACUUCAAGGAGCCUUAAGAGAACUUACCAAGAAAUCCUUACCUCUCUAUAUAUAGAGAGAACAAGGAGAGUAGGGAGCUUCUUGCAAUGAAAGAGCAAUAGUAGCUGGCUGAUAUAUACUGAUCUUUUAGCAUAUUUUUUAUACAAAUUUAUUUUAAAUUAAUUUUUGUAAGUGUAGUUGUCAAAGGUUUAGCUUCUAGUGUGAUUGUCAAAGUGAAGCUUUUGACCUGACCAAUCUUGUCUUCGUUCGUAACAGGUAAUUCCACUCGUCUUUGUUUUUGUCCUUUCCUUCUUCUUUUUUACGUCAUUAUUGAUUAUCUUAAAUAAAAAUGGGUCUUUUAAUGGUGGACUUUUCUUUGAUGGGUGCCCUUAGCAUCAUCAAUACUAAACUUGUCCUGCACGACGGAUGGACUUGGGAUUCAUCUUCGCAGAGAAAGAAUUAUAAUGAUUAUGAAUAAAAAAGAAAAAAGAGAUUGAUUAGAUGUUUUAAGAUAUUUAUUUAUUUUUUAUAUUUUGAGAUUGUCAUAGUUCAAAUUUAUUGAUUUUUUUAAAUAUGUUUGAUAUUUUAAAAAAAUUAUUAUUAAUAUUUAAAUUGAUUUAAGAGUAUCCCUUAUUGUUGGAAAAGAAAAAAUAUAAUUACCCACUGACAGCUUAUUGUUAAUUAUCAAGAAGAUGUAUCUCCUUUGAUUACAGGAUUCGCUCUAGAGUAUUUUAUAUAUAUAUAUAUAUAUAUAUAUAUAUAUAUAUAUAUAUAUAUAUAUAUAAUUGCUUUGGUGAUAGGAUCAUUAUCAUUUUAAAUUUAUUAAAAAAAUUAAAUACAUAAAAAACCAUAUAAAAUGUAUAUAUUUAAAAUAACUUGACUUUAGCUAAUGUUUAGGCCAGGAGUGUUAAUGAAAUAUAGCAAGUCAUAUUUGGGAUUUAUAAUUUUUAUUCAGUUUAAUUUUUAAUAUUUUAUAAAUUAUAAACUCAAUUUAUCUAGAAGAAAGUUUGAAUUUGAACGAGCUAAAUAUAUCAGGCUGGAUUAAAUUUUUUAUAAAUAUUAUAAAUAUUUAUAAGUUGGAUUUAUAUUACUAAUUUUUAUGAGUUAUACUCAAUUGGAAUACCUUGCACCCACAAAAACUAUCAUUAUAAACCAAAAAAUAUACAGCAUCAAUCUAGAAAAAAAACAAUUCUCUCCUCAUGCUUCCUGUUUAAGAGUGCGGCUCAAAUGCAAGUUAAUCAAAAUUUAUUUUUUAUUUAAAAUUAAUUAUUUUUUGAUAUUUUGAAUUGUUUUGAUAUUUUAUUGUCAAAAAUAAAUAUUAAAAAAUAAAAAAUAUAUUAUUUUAAUAUAUUUUUAAAUAAAAAAUACUUUAAAAAACAAAAACAACAACAUUCACAAUCACUCCCCAAACCCUUCACCAAAAUCCAUGAACCGAUGAACAACUAAACCUUCUAGAAUCCAGCAUCAACACAUAUAACAUCAAAGAGUAAAACCUGAGAAAAGCUAUACAUCAAACCUUGAGAUUCUUGAACUUCAAAGUAUGUAACUUCCAAGCUAAAAUCUUUCCUACAAGAAAAAACAGAGAAAUGAAAGAAAGUCAGAUAUUCGAUGGACUUGAGAGAUCUUGCCAAGAAAUCCUUGUCUAUCUAUAUAUAGAGAGAGAACAAGGAAAGUAUGAAGCUUCUUGCACGAAAGAGCAAUAGUAGCUGGCUGAUCUUUUAGCAUAUUUUUUCUACAAAUUUAUUUUAAAUUAAUUUUCCUCGUCCGGCUAUUUUCAGUAUCGUUCUUGUUUAUAUAUAUAUAUAUUGUAUGUAUUUGUGAAGUGUAGUUGUCAAAGGUUUAGCUUCUAGUGUGAUUGUCAGAGUGAAGCUUUUGACCUGACCUGUCUUGUCUUUGUUCGUAACAGGUAAUUCCACUUGUCUUCGAUUUUGCCUUUUCCUUCUCUUUUUUGACGUCAUUAUUGAUUAUCUUAAAUAAAAAUGGGUCUUUUAAUGGUGGACUUUCCUCUGAUGUGUGUCCUUAGCAUCAUCAAUACUAAACUUGUCUUGCACGAGGAUAGACUUGGGAUUCAGCCGAUCAUGUUUCAGAUUUUCAGUAACAGUGACCGAUUUGGAUUGCGAUUAUUUAUGUUUUUAAAUGUUUUUUAAAAGUGUUUUUAUUUUAAAAUAUUUUAAAAUAAUCUUUUUAAUUUUUUUUUACUUUUAAUAAAAGCUUAUCAAAAUAAUUAUAAAGCAAUUAAAAAAAAUUAAUUUAAUAAAAAUAAAUAUACUUAUGAAAUCUAUUCAAACAUAGUUAUAAAUAUGAUGUAGAAUAGAUAUUUAUAAUUCAAGUCAGGUUUAAAAAAGAAAUUAAUUUAGAAUUAACACGGCCAAAACGCUAUUGGGCAAAAAUUGAAAAUUAUUUUUGUUUAAAAUUUAUUUUUUUAGGUUUUUUUUCUAGUUUUGAUGUGAUAAUAUCAAAAAUAAAUUUUAAAAAAUAAAAAAAAUAUUAUUUUAAUAUAUUUUUUAACAAAAAAAAUACUUUGAAAAGUAAGAUCUACCACAAUAACAACCACUACCUUAAUUGACAUGGUUAAAAUUUAAAAAAAUAUAUUUAAAACAAUGUUGUUAUUUAUUAUUCUAGGUUUACUUACGCAACCAAUAAAUCGAUAAACCAAAUCUUAAGUUGGGUCGGAUUUAAAUAAUUUUCUUCUCAUACAUGUUAUAUAUAUGAGAUCACAUCUAAUGACUAUCAUUAGAAGUUGAUAUGGUUUCAAUGACUAUUUUAAAGCAAAUUAAAAACUUCUGAAAUAAUUAAAUAAAACUAAAAAUUAAGUUCUGUCUCAUCCACAUCUAUAUGUGUGUGUGUUUUUGCAGACCUUGGAUUUAAAUUUUAAUAAUUAAUAUUGAUUCCCUUCAAGUAUGGCAUUAUCUCUUAAAUAGCAACUAGCAAUUAAAAACACCGUGGGCUCCGAGCCUGUUACUAUGGGCAUCCACCGAUCCCAGACUCAUCUCCGCAUAUGAAGAAUUAUAAUGAUUGUGAAUAAAAAAAGAAAAAGAAAUUGAUUUGAUGUUUAAGGAUAUUUAUUUAUUUAUUAAAUUGAUUUAAGAAUAUCCCAAUUUCUCAGAAAAUAAAAUAAAAAUUUCGUGUGGAUAUUCGCAAGUUGGACUUGUAUUACUAAUUUUUAUGAAUUAGACUUAAUUAGAACUUAUUGUUGAUGAUCAAGACGUAUCUGUUGUGGUUCUCAGGAAUCCUCUGUAGAGUGCUAUAUUAUCAUCACAGUCAGGAAUGCAUGUCACGAAGAAUUGGAUGUUGGAAACUAGCACGAUGCUUAACAGGAUUUGGAGUACACAUGAAACUGCAGAUUUUAUGGGCUAAUAAAGUGCCGUUUUAGAAAUUCAACAGACAAAUCAUCAUUUGACUGAGCUGGGAAGUAGGACAUUAGUUUGAAUUCAGCAUCAAGAAGGGAAGAGACCUUCCAUUGCUAGGUUCUCAAGCAUUUUCUGUGGAAAAGUGCUCAAGGCAUGCAUUUGAAAGAACUCUAAGAAAUGAGGGGAAAGAAACUAUAGCAUGACUCGUAUAUUCGGCUUCUAGUCCAUGGAGAAGAACAUCUUAAAAUAGAUGUUGGCAGAACAAACCAGCAAACAAUCUUCAAAGAAAGCACUUUAGCAGUUUUGAUAAGUUUAUGGUUUUCGUGUUUAGUGCAGAUCGGUGAAGACCGUGACGUACGAGUCAUUGAAUAAUGUGGCGAGGUUGAUAAAUGGAGUGUCAGCCAUUUUGUCGACUCUUCUACCUGGGAAGGCUAAUGUUCUUGAAGAUGUUCAUGGCUGCGAGCUUAGGCCUACUUUUCAUGGACCUCGAUUGCCCCGUUGGAUACAUAAGUAAUUUUCUUUUUUAACUCUAUCAGCUCUUGAUGUUUGCACAACAAAUUUAAACAAGUUCCUUCCCAACAAUUGGAUUUGUAAGCAACAAGACAUUGAUGCUAAUCUGGCAAUUUGAAUCUGUAAACCAAGAUUCUACUUUGAUGCAUCCAACCUGAGAGAACCUAGCUAGGUAGAGAUGUGUAUACGCCAGCUUUAUGAUUAUUUUUCUCAUUCAAACCUCUUCUAGCUGAGACCCGUCCUAGCCUUGACUAGACUAUGUCUCAUGAGGUUUAGCCGGGUUGGUUAUGUUUCAUAUCUGGUUAAACUAAGGAUUAGCAGGCGCAUGCAUGGGUUUUAACUUUUAACAGUGUUUGAUGUGCCGCCAUGAAGAAGGUAGACGAUGACAUGAUGUGAAAUGCAUAAAGAAGAUUCCCACAUCGAGAAAACAUAAGACGUGGGGCAAGGCAUGGGAAUAUAAAUAGGAAGCUCAAAGCAACGGGAAACAUACUUACCUGGACGGGGUCGAUGGGCGAUCAGGAAGGUCCAUGGCCUAGGUCAGUGACGUCCAUUGCACUGAGGAUGGGUGCUGGCUUAAGGUCUCCCCAAGUGGGAGAUCCUACGUCAAAAUUUGUGGCAGAGGGGGCUGCGCAAGUCGCGGCCCCUGUCCAAUUCUAAUAUCAAACAUUUUGCUAUGAGUCUUUCUAAUUUGAAGCCUCAUCUGAACUUGUUCGGCGCCGGAGAUAGUAGCUGAGGCUCCGAGCAUUGAGAGUAGAUGUUGCGUUGAUCAUAGAAACAUUGGACACUUGAAGAAAUGCGAUGCCUGAGAUAUCGAUCAGGAAUAAUUAAUUAAGACCAAAAAAGAAGUCUGUCUCAUCCACCUGCAUAUAUAUCUGUGUGUUUUUUGUGAUGUGAUAAUGUCUAACAGCUUUUCUUCUUCUUUUUUGCAGACCUUGGAUUUAAAUUUUAAUAAUGGGUGUGCUUGGAUGAAAAUAAUUUUUAAAAUAAAAAAUUAUUAAAUUCAAUGAAAAUAAAGAAAUUCAAGAUCCAAAUUGCAUAUUGGCUAGUUAACUUAAUUAACUCUUCUUUUUUUUUUUAUCGAUUUUCUUAUCUCUAGUUUCACAACACUAUGAUUAAGUUUUUAAUAACAUAAUAUACUAUCAACGGGACUUUGUUUGAUCUCACAACACUAUGAUUAAAGUUUCUUAAUCCAUCGCACAAGCCCUUUGUUAAUAUAUACAGAUACACAGAGCAGAAAAGCCUCCGCAUCAGGCUCCUAUAAGCCAUGCUCUCCACCUCAAGGCACAAAAACCAU
rnacentral:lncRNA from 1 species